UAGAUCUGCAGUUGAUCAACAAAGUUCAUCAGAAUGGAAAGUCACACUGGAGCCGUGAAGAGAACUGAUUCAUCAAGCCUUAACGGCAUAAAAGGACACAAGUUCACAAACUGGUCGAAGACGUUCAAAUGUAAUCCUGAGCUGUACUUUGAGCCAUCAAAUCUGGACGAAAUUCGGCAGAUUUUGAAUGAAGCGUCAGAGCAAAAGAAAAAAGUUAAAGUUAUUGGCAAUGGACGUUCGCCAUCAGAUAUUCAAUGCACUUCAGAUUACAUGAUCUGUUUGAAAAAAUUUAACAAAAUCAUCG